UACGUAGGGUGCGAGCGUUGUUCGGAAUUACUGGGCGUAAAGGGCGCGUAGGCGGUCUACUAAGUUGGAUGUGAAAACUCUGGGCUUAACCCAGAGCCUGCAUUCAAAACUGAUAGGCUGGAGUUCUGGAGGGGAUAGCGGAAUUCCUGGUGUAGCGGUGAAAUGCGUAGAUAUCAGGAGGAACACCGGUGGCGAAGGCGGCUAUCUGGACAGAAACUGACGCUGAGGCGCGAAAGCUAGGGGAGCAAACAGG
rnacentral:rRNA from 1 species